UGGAGUUUAGAUUAAGGGAGAUUAUGUGACUGUUAAUCACAAGGUACAAAUUUAUUGUAGCUUCAG
rnacentral:tRNA from 1 species